GCAAGUCGAGCGCAUCCUUCGGGAUGAGCGGCGGACGGGUUAGUAACGCGUGGGAACAUACCCUUCUCUACGGAAUAGCCAUUGGAAACGAUGAGUAAUACCGUAUACGCCCUUCGGGGGAAAGAUUUAUCGGAGAUGGAUUGGCCCGCGUUAGAUUAGAUAGUUGGUGGGGUAACGGCCUACCAAGUCUACGAUCUAUAGCUGGUUUUAGAGGACGAUC
rnacentral:rRNA from 1 species